rnacentral:rRNA from 1 species
UACGUAGGUCCCGGGCGUUGUCCGGAUUUAUUGGGCGUAAAGCGAGCGCAGGUGGUUUAUUAAGUCUGGUGUAAAAGGCAGUGGCUCAACCAUUGUAUGCAUUGGAAACUGGUAGACUUGAGUGCAGGAGAGGAGAGUGGAAUUCCAUGUGUAGCGGUGAAAUGCGUAGAUAUAUGGAGGAACACCGGUGGCGAAGGCAGCGCACCGGCGCCCUACUGACGCUCAGGCACGAAAGCGUGGGUAUCGAACAGG